GCGACCACAGCGCCGGUCGUUGCGGCGGGACCAAGGACCGCAGCGCAGCCAGCCGCGUGGUCGGAGCCGCGGAGAAUCAGAGCCCCAGGUGCCCGGCGCUCGUGAGCGAGGAAUGGGGCGUCGGGCGAGGGCGCACGGCCAAGCCCACCCGGCCCGUCCCUCCUUCGCAGCCCCUUCCAUCCGCCGGGUUUCGUCGUGUCAGCGCAGGUCUGCUCUCCACGACCUGUUCUCCCUUUAACUCCACACAGUGCAGGCCUCACAUUAAGGCGGCCUCAGGAUCCAGCCAGAAUUGUCUGCCUACUUGGAUUUGCAUUGUCUUUAUAUUUUACCUCCAGUCUGGAGGCGCGUGGAGCUCGCGGUCGGGCAUUCGAACAACGGCUCUGCCACUCUCUAUCUCUGUGCUGGUGGGCCCAUAAUUUAACCUCUCCAUGCUUCAGUUUCCUCCCUGUAAAAUGUUAAUACCUGCUAGGUUAUCGAGAGAACUAAAUGAGAACGCUAGGGCCUAAUAAAUAUGGAUUGUUAUUUUUCAUGGCAA